UAUGAAGGGGGCUAGCGUUGCUCGGAAUCACUGGGCGUAAAGCGCACGUAGGCGGCUUCUUAAGUCAGGGGUGAAAUCCUGGAGCUCAACUCCAGAACUGCCUUUGAUACUGAGAAGCUUGAGUCCGGGAGAGGUGAGUGGAACUGCGAGUGUAGAGGUGAAAUUCGUAGAUAUUCGCAAGAACACCAGUGGCGAAGGCGGCUCACUGGCCCGGUACUGACGCUGAGGUGCGAAAGCGUGGGGAGCAAACAGG
rnacentral:rRNA from 1 species